rnacentral:rRNA from 1 species
UAAGAGCUGGGCAAGACCGGUGCCAGCCGCCGCGGUAACACCGGCAGCUCUAGUGGUAGCAACUUUUAUUGGGCCUAAAGCGUCCGUAGCCGGUUUAAUAAGUCUCUGGUGAAAUCCUGUAGCUUAACUGUGGGAAUUGCUGGAGAUACUAUUAGACUUGAGACCGGGAGAGGUUAGAGGUACUCCCAGGGUAGAGGUGAAAUUCUGUAAUCCUGGGAGGACCGCCUGUUGCGAAGGCGUCUAACUGGAACGGUUCUGACGGUGAGGGACGAAAGUUAGGGGCGCGAACCGGAUUAGAUACCCGGGUAGUCCUAACUGUAAACGAUGCGGACUUGGUGUUGGGGUGGCUUUGAGCUGUUC